ACAGGACAGUGGCGGAUGGGUGAGUAACGCGUAAGAAACCUGCCUUUCACACCGGGAUAGCAGCUGGAAACGGCUAUUAAUACCGGAUGACACUUUUUCCCCGCAUGAGGAAGAGGUUAAAGAAUUUCGGUGAAAGAUGGUCUUGCGUCUGAUUAGCUAGUUGGUGGGGUAACGGCCUACCAAGGCGACGAUCAGUAGCCGGCCUGAGAGGGUGUACGGCCACACUGGGACUGAGACACGGCCCAGACUCC
rnacentral:rRNA from 1 species